rnacentral:rRNA from 1 species
GAUGAACGCUGGCGGCGUGCCUAAUACAUGCAAGUCGAACGCAUUGUGGUUGAAAUGAUAUGAAGAACUUGUUCAGAUUUGAUUUUAAACAUUGCAAUGAGUGGCGAACGGGUGAGUAACACGUGGGAAACCUACCUCUUAGCAGGGGAUAACAUUUGGAAACAAAUGCUAAUACCGUAUAAUAAUUAAAACCGCAUGGUUUUAGUUUAAAAGAUGGUCUUGCUAUCACUAAGAGAUGGUCCCGCGGUGUAUUAGUUAGUUGGUGAGGUAAUGGCUCACCAAGACAAUGAUACAUAGCCGAGUUGAGAGACUGACCGGCCACAAUGGGACUGAGACACGGCCCAUACUCCUACGGGAGGCAGCAGUAGGGAAUCUUCCACAAUGGACGAAAGUCUGAUGGAGCAACGCCGCGUGUGUGAUGAAGGGUUUCGGCUCGUAAAACACUGUUGUAAGAGAAGAAUGACAUUGAGAGUAACUGUUCAAUGUGUGACGGUA